UACCAGCACCCCGAGUGGUCGGGACGUUUAUUGGGCCUAAAGCAUCCGUAGCCGGUUCUACAAGUCUUCCGUUAAAUCCACCUGCUUAACAGAUGGGCUGCGGAAGAUACUAUAGAGCUAGGAGGCGGGAGAGGCAAGCGGUACUCGAUGGGUAGGGGUAAAAUCCGUUGAUCCAUUGAAGACCACCAGUGGCGAAGGCGGCUUGCCAGAACGCGCUCGACGGUGAGGGAUGAAAGCUGGGGGGAGCAACCGG
rnacentral:rRNA from 1 species